AACACACCAAUCAGCACUCUGUGUCUAGCUAAUCUAGUGGGGACUUGGAGAACUUUUGUGUCUAGCUAAAGGAUUGCAAACGCACCAAUCAGCACUCUGUGUCUAGCUAAAGGUUUGUAAAUGCACCAAUCAGCACCCUGUCAAAAUGGACCAAUCAGCUCUCUGUAAAAAACGGGCCAAUCAGCUCUCUGUAAAAUGGACCAAUCAGCUCUGUGGAAAAUGGACCAAUCAGCAGGAUGUGAGUGGGGGGGGUGGUCAGAUAAAGGGAUAAAAGCAGGGUGCCCAAGCCGACAGCGAUAACCUGCUGGGGUCCCCUUCUGUGUUGUGGAAGCAUUGUUCAUUUGCACUUUGCAGUAAAUCUUGCUGCUCUUCACUCUGGGUGUGUGUUUCUUUUGUGAGCUGUAACACUCAGGGCAAAGGUCUGUAGCUUCACUCCUGAAGCCAGCAAAAUCACGAACUCUCUGCAAAGGACAGCUACUCGGGCCAGCAAGACCAUGAACCCUCCGUGAAAGACGAACAACUCUGGAUAGGAGGAAGGAACAAUUCCGGACGCACAACUUUUAUGAGCUGUAACAUUCACUGGGAAGGUCUGCAGCUUUAUUCCUGAGGCCAGAGAGAACAUGAACUCACCGGAAAGAAUGAACGCCAUCUUUAAGAGCUGUAACACUCACUGCGAAGGUCUGCAGCUUCGCUCGCGAAGUCAGCGAGACCACGAACCCACCAGAAGCGAGAAACUCCAGACACACCAUCUUUAAGAACCGUAACACUCACCGCAAGGGUCCGUGGCUUCAUUCUUGAAGUGAGCAAGACCAAGAACCCACCAAUUCCGGACACAAGUUGCUCUGGCUAGAGUUUCACUGGUCUAAGAGGAAAAGCUUUGAAAUUUUCACCAUUGAAGAAGAUAUUGGCAGAAGGUCCACUACUGUGUCACAUAGGGACAUCCGUCACAUAGCCAGAUGGAGAGCUAUGUGGAAUAAAAUCUGGGAGAAUCUCAAGCACAGGAGCUUAUUUUCCCAUGGAGUCGGGUCAUAACAACCUCCCAGCUCAUAAAUGCAUUCAUUCACCUUGAAGCUUCCAUUAUUCCUUUUUAAAUUUUAGUCAUCUUCAUUUUUUUCAGAGUUACCACUAACUACACUAAAUGCAUUAUUCUAAGCACAUUGCAUGAGGAUAUAAUUUUUAUGGAAAUUCUAAAUGAAACAGGUUAGGCAUGUGCAAUUCAAAACAUUAACCAAGAAUAGAAAUUUCAAUCAUAUCAUUUUCUUACCAUGUCUUAAUAUUUUUUUAAAAUGUGUUUAGAUAUAAAAAUCUUCUAUAAUUUUCUAAUGUAAUUUCUACUAGAAAAAUUUUUAAAGUUCUUGUACAUACAAAGUAUCUAAGUAAAAUGUCUAAAGCCAUUAAUGCCCUAUCAGACUCUGUUACAGAUCUAACUGAUGGUUAAGUGGUGAUAUUAUAAGGUUGUCUUGUUCUAGGAAAGUAACGUGCUAGACACAGCCCUCUCUGAAGAGCUGCAUGAUAGUUGAGAUUCAACUGAAAAAGGAAAUGAUGACCCUUACAAAGCUACGUGUUUGAAUAAGAACUUUGUCUUGUACAGACGUAUUUUGAAAGAAGAAUCAAGUUGAAAUCUUAGGAAAAAAAAUGAGUCAUGUUCCACAAAAUAAUCUGAAUAAAAGUUCAGGCAUUUGGCAUAACAUGAUAUUUUUACAAUGAUGCCUAUUAAUGUUUUUCUACUUUUAAUACAAAUGCUUUGAGCAUAAAUUUAAAAGAAAGAGAGACAAAGCCUUUUGUUUCAUAAGCUGUGUGUUCCUUUCUCUCUUAGGAGGAUCAUGUUUUUGUAAGAUUAAUACUGAAUGACUCAAGAGGCUUAAAUACAAUUUACUUCUUUCCCUAAGGUUGAUGGAAAUGGUAAUACAGAGAACUAAGCAUAAUUUUCCACAAAAAAUUCUCACUUCAGCAACUAUAUUCUCUUCUAGGCUCCUAGCAUGCUAUAAAAUAUGUCUGCAGUUUACAGCACACUGUAGAGAAUACAUUAAAAUGCACACUCACAGUUUCGUAUACAGGGAUGGAGACACAUUUGAUGGAUGAAGAAUUCACCAUUCAUCCUCUGAUAUGUUCCAAUUUGAACAAGCAAAGGAGCUGGCAGACCAGACACUUCUACUUGAGUCAACCUGUGACAGAAGCAGUACCAGGUCAACUCUUGUGACUAUAACAGAUUAAGGCUUUGGGACAUUGCAAUUCCCAUAACAGCAUAAAAAUCACAGCCAUUCAGGUAUCUCUCAGUGUUAUGUAACAUAGGUAUUAAUGGCAAUUUUAUCUCAUAUUUUAGUAAUUUUCAUAGUAAUAGUAUUUCUCUAUUGAAAACAAUAUAAGCCAUACUCUGUUUAUGAUUUUCUAAUCAUUAUGAGUUGGUAAUAUUAUUUUUUAAUAAAAAGUCACUUUAAAACUAAAUAAGUGGUGAUUACAGUAAAUAAAAUUGAACAUAAAUUAUAAUUUAUUAUUGCUAUAAUCUUACUAGUUCUUUUCAACGUGCAAGACAAAAAAGGGCUAGUUUUUCUGAAUAUAUGUUAAGAAUUAAAACUUAGCUGUGAGUUACUGACGGUAAAUAAAUGAAUUAAUGAGAAUGCUGUAUAUCUGUGUGCCAGUUUUUCUGCUAUAGGUAAGUUCCAUGAUUUAACAGUAAUUUGUAUUUAAAUCUGUUCUUUUCUUUAAUUCUUAAACUUACUAUUAUUUUGUUAUUUCAAAGAACAACAUUAAAAUUAUUCAAAGAACUUCAUCUUAAUUUUUCAUCAGAUUGCAUCUGUAUUCACAAAUUAAAAUUUAUUUGUUGAAAAUAAUCACUCUUUUAAAUGUAGGUGAAAUAUAUAAAGCUGUGCCUUCCAUUUGUUCAAUAUACGUUAAAUGACGUUUGCUAAAAUAAC
rnacentral:lncRNA from 1 species